UGGGGAAUCUUGCGCAAUGCGCGAAAGCGUGACGCAGCAACGCCGCGUGGGGGAAGAAGGCCUUCGGGUUGUAAACCCCUUUCAGGAGGGACGAAGGUUCGGCAGUGAAUAGCUGUCCGGACUGACGGUACCUCCACAAGAAGCCCCGGCUAACUACGUGCCAGCAGCCGCGGUAAUACGUAGGGGGCUAGCGUUGUCCGGAAUCAUUGGGCGUAAAGCGCGCGUAGGCGGCCCGGUAAGUCCGUUGUAAAAGUCAAAGGCUCAACCUUUGAAAGCCGAUGGAUACUGUCGGGCUAGAGUCCGGAAGAGGCGAGUAGAAUUCCUGGUGUAGCGGUGGAAUGCGCAGAUAUCAGGAGGAAUACCCAUAGCGAAGGCAGCUCGCUGGGACGGUACUGACGCUGAGGCGCGAAAGCGUGGGGAGCGACCAGGAUUAGAUACCCUGGUAGUCCACGCCGUAAACGAUGGGCACUAGGUGUGGGAGGUGUCGACUCCUCCCGUGCCGACGCUAACG
rnacentral:rRNA from 1 species